rnacentral:rRNA from 1 species
UGUUGUUAAGGAACUCGGCAAAUUGACCCCGUAACUUCGGGAGAAGGGGUGCUCUAGAGAUAGAGCCGCAGAGAAUCGGCCCAAGCAACUGUUUACCAAAAACACAGGUUUGUGCUAAAUCGAAAGAUGACGUAUACGAGCUGACGCCUGCCCGGUGCUGGAAGGUUAAGAGGAGAUGUGCAAGCAUUGAAUCGAAGCCCCAGUGAACGGCGGCCGUAACUAUAACGGUCCUAAGGUAGCGAAAUUCCUUGUCAGGUAAGUUCUGACCCGCAUGAAAGGCGUAAUGAUUUGGGCACUGUCUCGACAGCCCGCCCGGCGAAAUUGUAGUACCGGUGAAGAUGCCGGUUACCCGCGACAAGACGGAAAGACCCCAUGGAGCUUUACUGUAGCCUAAUAUUGGGUUUCGAUGUUGCAUGCACAGGAUAGAUGGGACACUGGGAAGCAAGUGCUUUGGCAUUUGUGGAGUGGCCGUUGGGAUACCAUCCUUGCGAUAUUGGAAUUCUAACCUGCGCCUUUGAAUCAAGGCGGGGGACAUUGUUAGGUGGGCAGUUUGACUGGGGCGGUCGCCUCCUAAAGAGUAACGGAGGCGUUCAAAGGUUCGCUCAGCUUGAACGGAAAUCAAGCAAAAGAGUGCAAACGCAGAAGCGAGCCUAACUGCGAGACUGACGGGUCGAGCAGUAACGAAAGUUGGAGUUAGUGAUCCGGUGGUAUGUGAGUGGAAAUGCCAUCGCUCAACGGAUAAAAGUUACCCUGGGGAUAACAGGCUGAUCUCCCCCAAGAGUCCACAUCGACGGGGAGGUUUGGCACCUGAUGUCGGCUCAUCGCAUCCUGGGGCUGUAUUCGGUCCCAAGGGUUUGGCUGUUCGCCAAUUAAAGCGGUACGCGAGCUGGGUUCAGAACGUCGUGAGACAGUUCGGUCCCUAUCUGUCGUGGGCGCAGGAUAUUUGAUGGGAGCUGUUCCUAGUACGAGAGGACCGGAGCGGACGUACCUCUGGCGCACCAGUUGUUCUGCCAAGGGCAUAGCUGGGCAACUAUGUACGGAUCGGAUAAACGCUGAAAGCAUCUAAGCGUGAAGCCGACCCAAAGGUAAGAUAUCCCAUUGUUUCAAACAAGUAAGACCCCUUGAAGACUACAAGGUUGAUAGGCAUGAUGUGUAAGUGGAGUGAUCCAUUCAGCAAGUAUGUACUAAUAGGUCGAGGGCUUGACC